UAUUUAUAUCCUUCACAUCCUCUCUUCUCUAGGUGAACUUUAGCUGCAGAAGCAGCAGAAGAAGCAGCUCUGUUGUAUGAUGGAGUAUAGGUCUCUCUUUUCCCCAUGAGUCUACCCUACUAGGGAGUGCUCUUCUUCUUCUUCUAAUGGGUGCACCACUAUCAGUUGAAGCUGCCAGCAUGAUCUAAACUUGCUUCCCUUUGUGAACAGAGAUCAGAUCAUGUGGCAGUUUCACCUGUUGUUGGUAGCACAAGAAACCCUAAUCCUGAAUAAAAACCCUAAGUCCCACUUCUAUGCUUACUUUCUCAUCAGGGUUUUCUUUGUAAAAUCCCUAAAAAGGUAUAUAUAUAUGUGAUCUUCUUGCCUUGGAUUUUUGCUCAUCUGGGUUUCUGUGACAUCCUUCUUUUGAAGUACGUUAAUUCUGGUGUUCUGAAUGUGGGGUUUUCUUGUUUUAAACUUGCGCGAAAAAAAUGUUAGCUUGAUGAGUUGGUUAGGGUUUUGAGUGACAGGAUCUUUUUGCGUCUCCAUGCCAUUUGAAUAUUUCAAGAUCCCCCACUGUGCUUUGGGAUUGAGUCAUGCCGUACUAUUUCUGUUAAUUCAUGAGGAUAUCAAUCUCCCUUGCUGUCUGAUUUGGAAUCGACCCAGGCAUAUCCAUCUACCUAAGUUUUUACGAAGUGGGGAUCUGCCCAGCAAUGGUCGGAGAAGUCAGGAAUAUAUGUUGAGGUGAACCAGAAAAGUUCAUGGGAGCUGGAUCUAACUGUCGACUUAGUAAAUGUUGAGUGUUCACUAUUCUAUCAUCUGUCAUUGCAUUAUAUGUUGUCUGUUUUGGGGUAGGAGAGAGCUCAGACCUAUAUGCCCCAUUAAAUUCUUUUUGACCUUCGUCUUCUUCCCUCAGGUUGAAUUCUUUCCUGCUUCUGCCUAUCGGUUUUUAUGAAGUGGGUUAUAUAAUCUUACUAAUCCAACUGUCCCAAAAACCUUAUAGUUCCUGAUGAGUAUCUUAUCUUUCUCCACUGAUUGUUUAUUGUGAUUAGGCACCAUCAACUGGUUAGAACAAAACAAACAAUGAAGCCCCGAACAUCUUUCUUUUUGAGUUUGGUUUCACUUGAGUGAUGUAAGUGUUCAUGAAAAUAGAAAGGAAGAGCAACUGCUUGAAAUAUAAGGCAUCUGAGAUAAUAUAACAAGUGAUGGAAUACUGAACUUGUCCUAGCACAGAAGAGCAUCUGGCAGAUUUGGAUAUGAAUAGAAUACUUUCUUCUUGCCUAAAGUACUUCUGAAAAAUGAGAGCUUAAUAUUUCUACAAUGGUGGAGUCAGUUCUGUCUUGAGGGUAUAAGCUAAAAGAAUAACAUAUAUCCAUUUAUAGGGCUUGAAGGACCUUUUCAAAUUUCUGAUGUAUUCUUUGAAUGCUCAGCUCAAGAGCAGACAACACAACCAUUCUGGCUAAAAAUACAGGUCUGAGAUAAUUAGUGUAAAAAAAACCUUCUUUUUUUUCUUUUUUUCCUUUUGGUUUUUUUGUUUAGAUGUAGACACAAAAUGUACAACCAUUAAUCUAAUUCAUUUUCAAGUUAUGAGCAAAA